UUUUUAUCAUUAAUUUGUAUAGUCAUCUAAGGGUGAGUAAACACGCAAUAGACUCCUAAUUAUUGGUAAAUCAUAAUCAGAUCAACAUUUGAAAUGUUAUUUGUUUUUAUAAGUUGGGUAUCCGAAGACACCACAAGAGAUAAAAAGGUUACACGGGACGCAAUAGUCAGAUCCAGAGUUCGGUUUUGAAGCCUGACUCUUUCACCUUCCAUUGUUUUUUAGCUCAUGUUAUAUUUUCAUCCCGGAGGAUUCCAACAUUAUACACAAGUAAAAGAGGUGUGGUAAUGAUCCUUCCGCAGGUUCACCUACGGAAA
rnacentral:misc_RNA from 1 species